UAUUAAAUAUCGUCUUCUUUUUGGCGGAGUCUCUCGUCUCUUCGGUGUUAAGAUUUCUGAAGAAACCGCAAGCAUUUCUUGCUCGUCCACGGCUUCAAAUUUCCAUCGCAAAUUUGUACUUUGAUUAUCUUUGUCGCGAAUAAAAAUUAUAGUUUCUCUUCACCAAAUCAAUCCGAUUUCCCUUGAUCUCACGCAUCCAAAUUCGUUUCGUCUCAGAUCUGUUUGUUGUUGAUCACUCCAUCCAGUUCCCUCGGAGAAUUUUAUUGAUUUGUGAUCCGCUAAGCGCUGAUUUCAACCGAAAAUUCUCCCUCUUCCGUUUCCAUGGCGGCGGCACCACUCAAGGCGGUGUCCUUAACCCAUGUCCGAUACCAGAGGGGAGAUCAGCUCGGCCAUUUCUUGGCCUGGGUUUCUUUGGUUCCCGUCUUCAUUAGCCUCGGCGGAUUUCUCUCUCACUUCAUCUUCCGCCGCGAACUUCAGGGCAUGUUCUUCGCGCUAGGGCUCGUAAUCUCCCAAUUCAUAAACGAGUUCAUCAAGACGUCUGUCCAGCAAGCGCGCCCCGAGACGUGUGUUCUGUUGGAAAUGUGCGAUUCGCAUGGUUGGCCCUCUAGCCAUUCUCAGUAUAUGUUCUUCUUCGCCGUAUACUUCACUCUUUUGACGUAUAAAGGGAUUGGGCUAUGGGGUCCAGAAGCCAAGUGGGUAAUGGAGAUCGUGGCUUGGUCUCUGGCUUUACUGACGAUGUAUUCGAGGGUGUAUUUGGGAUACCAUACUGUUGCACAGGUUUUUGCUGGAGCUACACUCGGUAUGUUUCUUGGAGCUUUAUGGUUCUGGGUCGUCAAUUAUGUGCUUUUCUGCUACUUCCCGGCUAUAGAAGAGAGUCGGUUUGGCAGGAUGUUCUACAUUAAGGACACUUCUCAUAUAAGCAAUGUUUUGAAGUUUGAGUAUGAUAAUGCAAGAGCUGCUAGAGAAAAGUUGGAUUGUAAGUGCGAUUGAUCGACUGGGAUCUGAUACAUGAGAAGCUAUCUUCUGGAAGGAUAAGAGAUCGCAUGCCCUUAAUUUUUUUGUCAUCCUGGAGUCAAGUGAGGACUUACAAAUAUUUGAAGCUUGAAAUUGGGUAGAAAUUGAUGUCAAUCCACCUGUGACUCAGUCUUACUACGUAGGAAGAAGAAAGAUAUUAGAAGAAUAAAUUUCUCAAGUAUUGAGUUUUGGCGAAGUACACUUAUUUCAAACCCAUGUCUCAUAUUUGGUGGGAAUGGAAUACGUUGUCCACUGCUGUCAAAGGAGAACCAAGCUGAAUGCUGUUGAAAAUGGCCUUGCCCACCUGGUUAGGGAAAAAACACUGCAAAGAAACCAGCUUGCAAAGGGAUCAGUUCUCUAUUGUAGAUUUGCAUACUGAAGAGAGCUUACUUGCUGCUGAUAUUCACUGCCCAUAUACAGCCUUAAUAGGUAGAAACUUGAUUAUCAAAUACUUUGAUAUAUAAACCUAGUUUAAAAUGGUCUCAUUUGGAUAGGGAACUCUCUCUACUUAAAUAGAUCUAAUUUAAUUUCUUCUUUGAUUGGAUUAUAUGGCAUGUGAAAUUGGAAUUUACUAGCUGGAUUGAAUGUUCUACAAGUCUUUGUUUCUUA